CACUCUCCGCGUAGCUUCCCUCCCCAGGAUUUCAACUCUUCCCUGAGACUAUAUAUACCCAAUCUCCUCCUCCGUUUCUCUCCACUCACAAAAUCCUCUCUUCCAUCACUACCGAUCCUCAGAUCAAUCAUGGCCUCCUUUCUUUCUUCACAUUCUCUUCUUCAACUUGCUCUGUUAAUCUCUAUUAUACAAUUCAGCUCAGCUGCAAGGACCUUCUCCGUGUCAGAUCAAAGCCAGGAUCCCUUGUUCUUUCAAUACCACAAUGGCCCUCUUCUCACCGGUGAAGUUUCUAUCAACUUGAUCUGGUAUGGCAACUUUAAGCCAUCGCAGCGAGCCAUUGUCUCAGAUUUUAUUGCCUCUGUCUCUUCUAGAAGACCCACAACAGCCCAACCCUCUGUGGCCACGGGUGGAAAGCCACUGAGAAAUAUUACAACCUUGUCAAGACGAAGAAAACCUCUCCUCUUCUCCUUCUCCGUAGGAGCCACAGAUUUUAGACGAGAGCUAUUCGUUGGGGAAAUCGCUCUCCAGCAAGCAAAUCGUGCAGCUAGCAUCGAAGGGUGGUCAAAAGGGUGCAAUCAACGUUGUUUUUGACAUCAUCCGAUGUUGCUGUUGAAGGUUUUGCUCUAGUAAAUGUGGUACUCAUGGGUCCUCCUUGAGCGCUAAAACAAUCAGCGGUAAGAGAUCUAAAUUUGCUUACAUUUGGGUCGGUAACUCUGAGACUCAAUGCCCCGGCCAGUGUGCGUGGCCAUUCCACCAGCCAAUCUAUGGACCACAGAACCCUCCAUUGGUUGCACCCAACAAUGAUGUGGGUCUUGAUGGUAUGGUGAUUCAAUCUGGCUAGUCUUUUGGCUGGGACUGCAACAAACCCAUUUGGAAAUGGCUACUUCCAGGGUCCGAAGGAGGCUCCUCUUGAGGCCGCAUCUGCUUGUCCUGGGGUCUAUGUAAGGUGCGUAUCCUGGUUAUGCUGGGAUUUGUUAGUGGACUCUGCAACUGGUGCUAGCUAUAAUGCUCAUGGUGUUAAUGGAAGGAAAUACGUGCUUCCAGCUUUAUUUGACCCUUCAACUUCAACUUGUUCCACUUUAAUUUGAGAAGGGAUCGCAUCGCAUUAGUGUGUAUGAGAGUACCGUAGAGCUGUAGGAGAGAUUAUUCUUUGAUUUAAUCAUUCUUUCAUUCAAUUAUAAUGAAAUCAAAUUUUCAGCAUGUUUGAAUUAAUGUUGCCUCUUGAAUAUGUUGAUUCAAUACUAAACUGACUUGUCUCUUCUUCGAAUUGAAUUUGAUUAAUUGACUAGAGAAAGCAAAAAGGACAGUUUUUUUUUUCAAUUCAGAUUCCUAAUCACGAAAUUAAUAUUCAUUUCUUAUUUUUUAUUGUGUUGUGUUGUAACCUAUUUUUGGGUCCCCAAAUAAAUAAAAUAAAAUAAAUAGCCAAAUAAGGUUAGAAAAAUAACAGGAGGCAGAAGCGCUCAGCAAAUGGUCAGAAAAAUCGGUCAAGGAGGUUAAAAAUACAAGGAUGAAUUUUUUACAAUAUAUUCUUGAAUGAUAAGAGCCAUAUGGAGAAGGAAAGUUUGAAUUUUGAUGAGAAAAACCCAAAUUUGGAUGUUUAUGGACUUAAUUGGAUUUUUAUUUGAAUUUAUAGGAUUUGAUUGCAAGAAAAAUUGUUUUUAAGUCAAUUUGGGCUUUAAUUGAAGAAAUUUAAGUUCUGGGGCCAAAUUAUAAUUUUUAGGAAUUUAUUAAGUCAAAUCAGGGGCUUAAUUGCAUAAAUAUUGAAGUUUAAUGGCCAAUUAGGGACUUAAUUGAGAAAAUCCGAAACUAGGGACCAAUUUGGAAAAGGUGCCUUAAAUUACUGUUCACUUUCUUCCUCAAAAAGCUGCCUGAGUGGCUGCUUUCCAGGCGCGUUUUCCGGCUCGUGUGGCCUCCAAAUCCGACACAACAUACACCAACAUGUCCACAUGAACCCCUUUAUCCCGGAGAAUGAUCAGGUCGGGUCGAAAAAGUCAUAAACGGCUCCGGUGAGUGGCUCAAAGUGGCCACCUCGGGCAGUUCACAGCCUGGAGCUGCCAAAUUUGGCAGCUCGAGGUGCACACUUUGAGCCAACGGUUGAGAUGCUUCCCAACUGAAUCAAGGGCUGAAAUUUUUCCCCAACGUAGACAAGAUUGCCCUCUUCCACAGCCUAUAAAUAGAGUCGGAUUUGAUGAUCUGAGGGUUGAAAAAUUCAGGUCCAAAGUCAGCCAAAAACCAGCAUUUUCGCCCAAUUUCUGCAGAUUUUUCUUCUUCUUCUUUCUUCCUCUGCAACAGGAAACCGACGCCGUCUUCCUCCAACUCCACCGCUGCAACCACCGGCUGAACCACCUCAUCACAGCAGCCACAACCUCUUCGGCCAAGUGAGCCCCUCUUCCUUUCCUCCUCCUUCCUUUUCCUUUCCUCCUCCUCUCUUCUUCUUCCUCCCUGUCUACUGUUCACUGCAUGAACAGUAGGCGUGAAAUAUAAUUCACGUCCUACUGUUCACGCAGGACGUGAAUUAUAUAUAUAUGUGUGUGUGUGUGUAUUAUUUAUAUUUUAUAAAUAUAAAAUAUUUUAUAUUAUAUGUAUAAAAAUAAAAAAAAUAUUUUGAAAAAUCUUAAAAAAUAUUGUUGAUUUUCUGCAUGUUUUUGUCAAAGUGGUUUAAUGUUGGUUUGUAUUUUUAUACCGUAAAGAUACAAAACCAGUGUUAAAAAUACCCGGUUUUCGUCAAAAUAUCAAAGAUUUUCAGAAUAAAAAAUGUUUUUGCUUUCAAAAAAAUUCUAAAAAGUCCCUAAAAAUGUUGUUGAUUUUUCUGCAUAUUUUUAUCAAAGUGGAUUAAUAUUGGGUUGUAUUUUUAUACCGUAAGAAUACAAACCCAGUAUUAAAAUACCCGAUUUUUGUUAAAGCAUCAAAAAAUAAUAUUUUCCAAAAAAGGUUUUUGUUUUAAAUACGGCCUAGUCUCUCCAAUAUAUAUAUAUAUAAUAUAUAUAUAUAUAUCAUCAUAUUUUCACACAACAAAGAAAAUUUUCAAAACAAUAUAUGUAUUAGCAUGCAUUUUGGCUUUAAUAACCAGUUUAUUCAAGCCAUGAGAACUAGGCCAAUAUUUCAAAAAUUCAAAAAAUUACUUUUUGUUUUCUUUUAGUAUUUGGGAUUACGAAUUUAUACGUAAAACGUAUUCCCAAAUAUUAUUAAUAAAGUUUUGGUAUAGACGUUAGAACGGUUAGGAUUUUACCCGAUAAGAUAAAGCUUUUCUUACCGAGAAGGAUUUUUCUUGAACCAUAGACAGACCAACAACUAGGAAAACACGAAAAUAUCUUAGAUUUUAUCAGACAAUAAAACAAUGCAGCUUACCUUAGGUAGGGCGUAUUUGGAGUGCUAAUACCUUCCCUGUACGCAACCAGUCCCCGUACCCGAUCUCUGAGACCAGUUAGGGUUCCUAGUGACCAAAAUACUAGGUGGCGACUCCCAUUCCAUUUUCUACCAAAAAGACAAUAUUUUCUCGUAUCCCCAUAAAUAUAGAUAGAUUUACAUUGUAGAUUAAGAAAAUGGAAGCAAACACUUGUAGUUUUUCGCCGCGACGCCGCACACGUGCAACAUGCUGUAUCAUCAACAAUUAAUAAAAAAAAAUAUUAAAAGAGUGAAUAAUUUUUUAUUGUGUUAUUGAACCUGAUUUAAUGAGACAAACUUGAAAUCUCGCCACCUGAUUUAAUGUUUGCCCACCUCUAGUUUCAGACUAAAUUGCAUUAGAGUUAUAUCAAUAUUGUGAUAUGUAUAUAUCAUGUUGUAUUAUAUAGUUUUAAAUGUUUUAUAAAUAUAUAUUUUGACUUGGACUCAGGUAAGUUUCAUAUUGGAUUUGAUAAUAUUUAUAUUUUAUCCAUUAUAUAUUAGAUAAGGUAAUUAUCUAAAUAUUAUCCACUAAUUCAGGUCAAAUCAAAUCAGGUCGAUAUUUAUCGAUUUUGAAUUAAAUGGUUGUCUAUACUAAUAAAUUAGGCUCAUUAAGUUAUGAGGGAUUCAUAAUAGAAUUAUGAUAUAUACACCGACUAGUUUCACCUGAUAGGCUAAACUAGUUAUUUGACCAAUGCUUCACUGUGAAUUAGAUAAUAAAAAAAAUUAGAAAAAAAAUAAGCAUACUUUUUCAAUGCUUUUUUUUACUAAAAAAAUCUUAAUCAUAAAUAAAUUAAAAAAUCUAUACAUACAUUUAAUUUAAUAAAUGAAGAUUCAUUUGUGCCAAUAAAUACAAAAAAAAAAAGGUGUUAGCAUAUCUAUAAAAUUAAAUAUCAUCUUUGGGCCCAUUAAGUUGUGAUGAAUUUAGAAUAGAAUCAUGACAUAUGCAUCGAUUAGCUUCACCAAAUAGGCUAAACUAAGUAUUAGACUCGCGCUUAGUUAUAGAUUGGAUAAUUUGUUUUGGAAAAAAAAAACAAAUAUGCAGCCUUUUCAACAUUUCUUUUGACUAAAAAAAUCCUAAUCAUAAAAAAAAAACAUAUACAAUAAUUUAAUUAAAUAAAUCGAGAAUUAUUUAUGUCAUCAAUAAAUGUGAAACAAAAGGUCUAUUCAAUUCACCUCGUUGCGGGUAAGAUAAAAAAAAAAUUAUAAUGCAAAAGAAUGAAUGAGAGUGUGUUGUUAAAAUAUUUUGUGACAUCGAAUAAAAAAUAUAACUAUAAAUUGAAAAUCCAAUGCUUAUAUUUAAUAAAAUAAAACAAGGAUCAUGUGCAUUAAGAAAAACAUAUAUAAUCUCAAGUUAAUUUUUAACAUAGUAGAAAAAUAAAAUAUUAUUGUGAGUGUGUUUCACUAUAUCAUGAUUGAUACAAUCCAAAAAUCAAUGGUAAAAAAGCUUAAAGAUGCAUUCAAUGAACUUAUUUAGAGUAACUGAUCCAAAGUGAAUUUUAAGAAAGUUACAACUUCAACAAGUGAUAAUCAGAUAUUAAUCAAUCUAAUAUAUGUAAAAGUGGAGUUUGAUCCAUCUACAACAUGGGCCUAAUUAUUUCACAAUGAUGGGCUAAUUAAUUUAGGCAUUAGAGGCGGUUUGGGGUUUGUUUUUUCUAAUACACAGUUUUACUCUAACAAUUAUAAUUUUUAAAUCAUAAUUGUUAACAAUGCAUUAGAUUGAAAUUAUACCUAAAGUUUUUGGAAGUCUUGUUCUAUUUUUACUUAAAAUUCUAAAGCAAUCGGAGACUAGAAAGGCUUUGUGAUAAGCUCCAGAAGCUACUAUGUAAAAAUUGUAUUAGUUUUCCAAUUGAUUUAAGAUUUCUUUUCCUAUUUUAUUUAGAAUUCUUUUAUUAUUUUUCCAGUAUUGUUUAUAAAGUUUUGACAUAUUAUAAAGAGGGUUAUUUAGCUUCUAUUUAUGGGGUUUUUUGGGGGACAAACUUUAAUUUUGUAAUUAUUAUUGUGUGUGUGAGGUUUUGCUCAUAUCUUUUGGUUUCUAAUUGAACUACUAUGGCUUAUCAAAUAAUUAAUCAAGAUUUAUGAUGUCUUCCAUACUUUACAUUCGUGUUUCUUUAUAGGCAAUGAGUGAGAGUUCGAUUACUUAUAGUUUUGGUGUCUCAGCACAAGUUAUGGUUGUGUCAAGCUUAAUUUUUUUUAAUCUUAAUGGUCAUUCUUUCAUAACCAAGAAUAAAUAAUUUUUAUUUUUAAGAAUAAUUCUUACUUAUAUAAAAAAUAUAUAAAAAAUAUAUAGAUGAAUUAUAAUAAUAUCUUAGAAACAUUAAAUACAUACAAAAUAUUUACAAAAUUAUCGCUAUUUAAAAAAAGCUAAAUAAACAAUCUAAAAAAGUUAAAGAGAAUAGAUAUUGAUUUAAAUAUAAAUUAAAAAUUUUAAAUAAAAAUACAUAUUAAAAAUAUAUCAAUUAAAAAAAUAAAAAAUAAAAAACAAAAUCAGGUUGAGUGGUCUUGGGUCGGUUUAUGAGCCUUACUCAUUUUGAAAAAAGCAUGGACAACAUUGACAUACAUCUUUUUUUUUUUUUUAAAUGGAUGAAUAGUUUAAAACACCAAUUUCUUCACCGAUGACAUAAUAUUUCCUCCAUGAAAAAUUUUCAAGGCCAAUAAACAAUUUCUAGGAAAACAAUCCCAGCUAUAGCUAGUCAAAGAUCAUAUAAAAGCCACACAAAAUCAUGCUAGUCCAUUUAAGUUAGAUGCAUCAUAGUUUUAAGACCUGAUUCGAUUUAAGACUUGGAUUCUAAAUUUUAACUGGGUCAAUUUGUUUUUUAAAAAAUCAAAACGAUAUCUUUUUAGUAAAAUAAUAUAGAAGUCAACAGGUUUGCGGACGGAUCUUGACCUGAUCAGCCGAGUUACAUCGGGUUUUUUUUUUUCAACUCGGUUCAGUUCUUGCCCUGAGUUGGCCAGGUCUCGAAUAGAUCCACCGAGCUAGACCGAGUUUCAAACUAUAAGAUGCGCACUCCCUAAUUUUUUUUAAUUUUAUAUUUGUUUUUCUCUACAUACAUAUUACUGAUUUAAAUAUAUCAAGAGAGUUAUUUUUUAGGCGAUUAGAACAACCACUAGUCAAACAUAUUAACCAAGCAAUGGAAAACCUAAUCUUCGUGUGAGGUUUUUUCGCGGCUUGAUAAGCGGAGCUGUCUACAAAAAGCUAUCUCAUUCACUUUCGGUCCUCUUAGCUGGCCAAGCACUGUAAUGUUAACAAUAGAUGCAGUUGAAAACGAGAGUAGCGGCGCGCGCAUUAGGUUGGCAAUGAAAAAACGCGCUAUUUAUCUGUCAUGUCACCACUGGCCACUUUCAAUUCUCAACCCACUCUCCGCGUAGCUUCCCUCCCCAGGAUUUCAACUCUUCCCUGAGACUAUAUAUACCCAAUCUCCUCCUCCGUUUCUCUCCACUCACAAAAUCCUCUCUUCCAUCACUACCGAUCAUCAGAUCAAUCAUGGCCUCCUUUCUUUCUUCACAUUCUCUUCUUCAACUUGCUCUGUUAAUCUCUAUUAUACAAUUCAGUUCAGCAGCAAGGACCCUCUCCGUGUCAGAUCAAAGCCAGGAUCCCUUGUUGUUUCAAUACCACAAUGGCCCUCUUCUUACCGGUGAAGUUUCUAUCAACUUGAUCUGGUAUGGCAACUUUAAGCCAUCUCAGCGAGCCAUUGUCUCAGAUUUUAUUGCCUCUGUCUCUUCUAGAAGACCCACAACAGCCCAACCCUCUGUGGCCACGUGGUGGAAAGCCACUGAGAAAUAUUACAAC
rnacentral:lncRNA from 1 species